rnacentral:rRNA from 1 species
GCGGAGUGCACGAGAGGGCAACAGGCACCUGAAGAAUCUAAAACGACUCUCGGCAACGGAUAUCUCGGCUCUCGCAUCGAUGAAGAACGUAGCGAACUGCGAUACUUGGUGUGAAUUGCAGAAUCCCGUGAACCAUCGAGUCUUUGAACGCAAGUUGCGCCCGAA